rnacentral:rRNA from 1 species
AAACCAACAGGGAUUACCUCAGUAACGGCGAGUGAAGCGGUAAAAGCUCAAAUUUGAAAUCUGGCUCUCUCAGGGUCCGAGUUGUAAUUUGUAGAAGAUGCUUCGGGUGUGGUUCCGGUCUAAGUUCCUUGGAACAGGACGUCAUAGAGGGUGAGAAUCCCGUAUGUGACUGGAUACCUACGCUCGUGUGAAGCUCUUUCGACGAGUCGAGUUGUUUGGGAAUGCAGCUCCAAAUGGGUGGUAUAUUUCAUCUAAAGCUAAAUAUUGGCCAGAGACCGAUAGCGCACAAGUAGAGUGAUCGAAAGAUGAAAAGCACUUUGGAAAGAGAGUUAAACAGUACGUGAAAUUGUUGAAAGGGAAGCGCUUGCAAUCAGACUUGCACUUGGCGUUCAUCAGGGCCUCGUGCCCUGUGUACUUCAUCAAGUUCAGGCCAGCAUCAGUUUGAGUGGUUAGAUAAAGGCUUAGAGAAUGUGGCUCUCUUCGGGGAGUGUUAUAGCUCUAGGUGCCAUGUAGCCUACUCGGACUGAGGACCGCGCUUCGGCUAGGAUGCUGGCGUAAUGGUUGUAAGCGAC